ensembl:lncRNA
UGAACAGUGAGGGUGAGAGGCCCAUAGUCCCCUCUCUGUGCUGUAAGUGUAAGCAGGAUCUUGCAGUGUGGUGCUGAGAGCUGAAGGAGGUGCCUGAGGAAGAGAGAAAAACCGCAGGGAAAUGACAGCAAAGCCUUCUUUUAUAGAACAGAGAAUUACAGGCCAGCUGCAAGAGAGAGUGUAGCACUGAUACUGUUGGGCAGUAGAAGUGUUUGUGAAGACCGGACAUGAUACUAACAAGAGAGUGAUGUGUCCAUGUUUGUGUCCUUUUGAAGAUAAGUAGGAAGAAGAAAAGUGAGAAAAGAGAGAAGACAGGAAGAAAGGAAAAGGAAGAGGAAGAGGAAAAGGAAAAGGAAGAAAGAGGAAGAAAUCAAGGCAACAGAGAAGGAGUAUCCUGCUAUUGCACUGUGAUCACAUAUGAAAGCUAUCAUGUUAAUAAAUCAAAAAUUCCCACUGUAGACCAUGGUAAAUGACUACUAUAUGAUUCAAUUUUAGUAGGAGAGAUAAAUAAUAGUGUAGACAGAUGCAAUAGUAUUGCAACUAAAUAAUGGGUUGAAAUCAACUCUACAGCAAAUAUAUCUUACAAGCUGAAACAUUUGGGGAAACAUAAUCUGAAACACUGGAUUCACAGGAGUGAAUCACACAGAAAAUGGAAAAGAACUAUCUGCAAGGAAGCAGUAAUGCUAAAAGGACUUCUCUAACGAAAAGAUACAUUCUUGGUGUCUCCAGAGACUUGUGUUUCCAGAGACCGGUGUCUUAUGCAAAAGUGUAAAGGGAGAACUCAGCAAGACCAAAGUGGGGAGAAUCUCAUGAAGACUGACUACCUUAAUGACGUGCCUUUAUGGGGCACAUCUUCUCAUCUGUCUACCAAAUAAAGAAAGUACAGCAGUAGCCUAUGUUAUUGAAAGACUAGAAAACUCUAAGACUAAGGUAUCAUCUUAUUCAAAGUCUUAUGAAAUCGACAAGACCAGUAUCAUGAGCAAGCCAGGCACGAUUAGAUUUUAAGGAGUAUUUCUAAGUGAAACUUAGAUUUCUCCAGGCAAUGUGCUUCACUGUAUCACUGAACUUGGACUAAGAAAUAAUACUGAUCAUAUUUCCAACUUCCUACCCCCAAAAUCUUGAUUGUGCUCCUGCCUCUGUAUACUUUCAUUCCUUUUCUUUCUUAUUUAUUUAAUUUGGAAAUCCUUCAAUAUAGAAAAUUAGCCAAGGACAAGGAGACAUGGUUUUGGAUGGAAUUUCUAGGUGCACUUAGCACACAGCAAUAAAUCUUGAACAUAAAAUUUAUUCACAGUGUAGGCUACUUAUUAUCAGUCAAGUCUAAACUCCAUUCUUAUCACUUUGGCUCUUUUGGUUUUAGUCAUAUAAAUACAGUUUGAGUAACGUUAUGUUCAUGAGGGAUAUUAUUAUUAUUUUUUUAGCUGGAUUUGAACAAAACAUUGUAACUGCUCUACUUUGCCACAGAUGCAAUUUUCCACUGUAAUUGUGCCCAAUAUUCUAUUAUAAGUUCUCUUAUAUAAACUAAUUAGUAUUCUAGAUGUAGUGCAACACUGAUACUUAUGCAGGAAGCAAACUCACCCAGGAAGUUUAUAGAGUACAAGAUUCUAUUAGGAACGUCCCUAAAAUAUUCUGUUAAUGCAAUUCAAUUAAACAAUUUUAAACAGAAUUAUCAUGUGGCCUUGGACAUCUGUGGUUAGCACAACACAACACAUAAAAUACUGAAUUCUAAGGAAAAUAUUGUUUUGUCAGUUAGAAGCACAAAGCAUGAAUUUCCACAGAGGCGAGAUUAUGGGAGAUUAAUCUUUCAGAGCUACAAGAUGACAUAUGCAGUCAGCAUGCAGACUAGCAUGUGUACUAUAAGCACUGAAAAAGAAAAGAAUUUCUUCAGAAGUCUGUGCUUUGUUCCUUAAAAGCCAUUCCUUUUAUAAUAUCUUUUUGCACCUUUUCUAUCAAACAAAUUCAAGAAACCUAGUGCAACUGGCAUUUACAAUACAAUUCACCAUCGACAGUCACCUAAUCAAAUGGUAGAUACUUGAAGAUGUUUUUAUUAAAUAUCUUAUGUCAUAUUGAAAUUGUAUCAUUUGGAUGAUGAUGCAAAAUUAAAAAGUUAAACAAUAUUCUUAGUUAUAUUUGCAGUUUCAAUGAGUUUUUCUCAUAGUUGCUUAAGUGUAAAGAAUGCCAGGCCACCUACUCUCCUUGCUUGGAGUCACGUUGGGGCUCACGCUCCACCAAAACCUCAUAUGGUUUUAGGUCUAUUUUCUCUACCUCUGAAUGACACCCACUUUCUCAUACAGCCUUAUCCCUUCUGCACUAACUUUUCCUCUGACCCAACUCUCUCCAUCUAAUCCAAAUUAUGAGCUAGUCUCCACCUUAUCUUCUAGCAUUUCUGAUUUCCACUUAAAUAAAACAUUUCCUAAACUGAACUGCUGGGGAGGCAUCCUUCAUGCCAUGGAAAAAGGCUGGCAGAGCAUCAAAAGGCCCCAAACUAUUGUAUCUGAUGGUGCUGCAGUAGAGGGAGCAACGCUGGUCUGAAGACAGGAAGAAUGGCUCCUCAGCCUUGCAUUCCUUCUCAGGCCUCUCAGAAGAUCUCUCCGUAACAGUGUCUAUCAAAUUCUGGAAGGGGAGGUAAUAUAUAUUGUGAAGGAGACAAAGAAGAAGCCCUGACAACCAGGCGUGAUAUACAGCAGAUGACUUAAUCACUUGACCACAUCUCAUACUCCAGAUGUUGCCUGAGGUUCUCAUGGACUUGCUACAAGCUGUUGCAGUCUCUCUGCUACUCUGUGACCUCACGUGCUCCCUUCAUCUCUGGGAGGUCUUUCUGGAAAACAAGCCCACCAAAAGGUACAUUCUUCAACUGCAAACACAGCUGCAUGAGAUCCCUCGUGUGUCUGAACUGCUUCCAGCACAGAAAACACUUUGCAAAUUCUCUGCAAAGAGAUUUACCACAGGAUACAAGGGUUUGAAUGCAACUCUUGAGCAUGUGUGUUUGGAAUAGGAUGGGUUUAUCCUUUGACAGGUCAGAAGAAGAACAAUAAACUUUAAAGACAGGCAUAUAAUUUAUGUUUGGACAUCUGGCUCUGUCAUGUGCUGUGAAGCUGAUUCUCAAUUGGGAAGCAAAGAGGCAAAAUUCACCCGAACCAGAAGGGUAACAAAGAAUAUGACUCAGAAAAGAACUUGUGUCUGUGUUUGCAUACUGCUUUUACUGGAACUUGCUUAAACACUGCCAAAUCAGGACUAAAAGCCACUGAUACUGACAGGCACUUCACCUCUACAGGGCUACCUACAUAAUUACACUAAUACCUUAUAAGAGAUUUAUUCCCCUCCUGAGGUAUGCAUUUUUCCCUGGUGUUUUAGCAAAGCCUAUGACAGACAUUAUGAUGUGUUAAGUGAACUGCCAAAGAUCCAAAAUAGUUCCAGAUAACAAAGAACACUUUUUCUUUAACGUGCUUUAGAGGAGUAAAAUAAAUAUAUCUGGCAAUUUAAGAGCACCAGCUGAAGUGUUUAUGAAGUUGUACAUGAGCUAUUUGAUUGUAACAGU